CGCUGGCGGCACGCCUAACACAUGCAAGUCGAACGAAGUAGCAAUACUUAGUGGCAGACGGGUGAGUAACAUGUGGGUAUCUACCCUUUGGCCUGGAAUAACACGAGGAAACUUGUGCUAAUACCGGAUAAGUCUUUACGGAGAAAGCUUUAUGCACCAUUGGAUGAGCCUGCACUAGAUUAGUUUGUUGGUGGGGUAAUGGCCUACCAAGACUGUGAUCUAUAGCUGAUUUGAGAGGAUGAUCAGCCACAUUGGGACUGAGACACGGCCCAAACUCCUACGGGAGGCAGCAGUGGGGAAUCUUGCACAAUGGAGGAAACUCUGAUGCAGCGAUGCCGCGUGAGUGAAGAAGGCCUUUGGGUUGUAAAGCUCUUUCGUCGGGGAAGAAAAUGACUGUACCCGAAUAAGAAGGUCCGGCUAACUUCGUGCCAGCAGCCGCGGUAAUACGAAGGGACCUAGCGUAGUUCGGAUUUACUGGGCUUAAAGAGUUCGUAGGUGGUUGAAAAAGUUGAUGGUGAAAUCCCAGAGCUUAACUCUGGAACUGCCAUCAAAACUUUUCAGCUAGAGUAUGAUAGAGGAAAGCAGAAUUUCUAGUGUAGAGGUGAAAUUCGUAGAUAUUAGAAAGAAUACCAAUUGCGAAGGCAGCUUUCUGGAUCAUUACUGACACUGAGGAACGAAAGCAUGGGUAGCGAAGAGGAUUAGAUACCCUCGUAGUCCAUGCCGUAAACGAUGUGUGUUAGACGUUGGAAAUUUAUUUUCAGUGUCGCAGCGAAAGCGAUAAACACACCGCCUGGGGAGUACGACCGCAAGGUUAAAACUCAAAUGAAUUGACGGGGACCCGCAC
rnacentral:rRNA from 1 species